rnacentral:rRNA from 1 species
GGUGAACGCUGGCGGCGUGCCUAACACAUGCAAGUCGAGCGGUGCAGUUUGAAGCUUCGGUGGAAAGCUGCAUAGCGGCGGACGGGUGAGGAAAACGUAGGAACGUGCCCCUUGGAGUUGGAUAGCCACGGGAAACUGUGGGUAAACCGACAUAGACUCGAGAGAGUAAAGGCCGAAAGGCGCCAAGGGAGCGGCCUGCGGCCCAUCAGGUAGUUGGUAGUGUAAAGGACUACCAAGCCGACGACGGGUAGCCGGUCUGAGAGGAUGGCCGGCCACCAAGGGCACUGAGAGACGGGCCCUACUCCUACGGGAGGCAGCAGUGGGGGAUUUUGGACAAUGGGCGAAAGCCUGAUCCAGCGACGCCGCGUGGAGGACGAAGCCCUUCGGGGUGUAAACUCCUUUUCUCAGGGAAAAAGGAUGAUGGUACCUGAGGAAUAAGCCCCGGCUAACUAACGUG